rnacentral:rRNA from 1 species
CACGAACCGUACGAACGUUAUUCGGAAUUACUGGGCUUAAAGGGUUUGUAGGCGGCCAUGUAAGUCAGGUGUGAAAUCCCUCGGCUCAACCGAGGAACGGCGCUUGAUACUGCAUGGCUUGAGGGAGACAGGGGUAAGCGGAACUGAUGGUGGAGCGGUGAAAUGCGUUGAUAUCAUCAGGAACACCGGUGGCGAAAGCGGCUUAGCUGGGUCUCUUCUGACGCUGAGGAACGAAAGCUAGGGUAGCGAACGGG